UGUGUAUCCCCUAUCUACUCAUACUGCCAUCAUCACCAGGUAAGGGUUAUUGUAUGUGUAUCCCCUAUCUACUCAUACUGCCAUCAUCACCAGGUGAGGGUUAUUGUAUGUGUAUCCCCUAUCUACUCAUACUGCUAUCAU